AACGAACGCUGGCGGCAUGCCUAACACAUGCAAGUCGAACGGGACCUCCGGGCUUAGUGGGGGACGGGGGCGUGACGCGGGGGAACCUGCCCUUAGGUUCGGAACAACUCCCUGAGAGAGGUGUUAAUAACGGUGAAUGUAAUCGGACCAAAGAUUUAUCGCCUUUGGAUGGGCGCGGGUAGGUUUAGCUGGUUGGUAGGGUAAAAGCCUACCAAGGCGACGUUGCAUAGCUGGUGGGAGACGAUGAUCAGCCGGAAUGGGACUGAGGCACGGCCCAGACUCGGACGGGAGGGAGCAGUGGGGUGUAUUGGGGGAGGAGGGAAGGCGUAGUACAGCCGUGCGGGGGAAGUGAGGAAGGCCGUAGUAUUGUAAAGCUCGUUUAGACGGGAUGAUAAUGACGGUACCGGGAGAAUAAGCACCGGCUAACUACGUG
rnacentral:rRNA from 1 species